rnacentral:misc_RNA from 1 species
UUUCCGUAGGUAUGUAUUAUCGAAAACCACCUCUCUGUCACGACCAUAGCUAACGAACCUUCAGGUGAACCUGCGGAAGGAUCAUUACCGUGAAAGCAGCUUGGGUUCGCCCGAGCCUGCCCACACCCUGUGUACUCUCCCUGUUGCUUCGGCGGGUCGUCUGAUCCACCAGCCAUCGGUUUCGACCGAUGUGUGCCCGCCGGAGACCAUUUGAACUUCUUUUGAGUCAUACUGUCAGAGCGGAAAAGCAAAUGAAAACAAAACUUUCAACAACGGAUCUCUUGGUUCCGGCAUCGAUGAAGAACGCAGC